GAGGGAGCAUCACAGGGUAUUCUAGCUGAGGAGAGGCCACUGUGUAGACAGCAACAGUUGGUGUCUGGGAUUGCCUGAGUGUUCCAGAACUGACCCCUGGCAUCGGUCCCACUGCACACAGUUUGCAAAAGGUGACCAGCAUUCAUCUGAAGCUAUCCAGGGACCCUUGACACCAGCUCUCUCAUUGUCACAUGCUACAUUCCACUCAGCUGUGUGCCAGGAGUCAGAGACAAAGGGUCACAGGACACUGAUACCUUCCAUGCUGUCUCAUUGACAGCACAUUGCUGACUUGUGGAAAAUCCCAGAUUCUGUUACAAGAAGGAAGAGUAUUAACACGGGAGCUGAUGCAAGUAUUUGUAAUUCAUGCAUAUUACUGCAAUAAUUUUCCAAUGACUCA